rnacentral:misc_RNA from 1 species
UGCCUCGGCCCCACCACGGGGCUUUGCUGUUGUGCCUGCAGCUGUGCAGGCGGCUGCACCGGUGAAGGCACCACGGAAGUCGAAGAUCCAGCCGGCUGUGGCUGAUCCCUUAACUGCUCCCUAUCCAUUGCCGUUGGCGACGAAGCGUUUUGCACCUCUGAAUCUUGAUCGGUCUCCGGCACCAUCGACGAGUCCACAUCCAUUGCUUCCAAACUGCAAUCCCUGCCCUAUAUUCAAGAUCGGAGCUAGAUUUCCAACGAAUUCGCAUCUCUAAACACCAUUUUCAACGAUUCACCCCAAAUUCACCAACAGCAGCGUACAAAAAAUUGAAACCCUAGCUAAGAUGCUCUAUUUUCAAAAUCCAAAAAAACAACAAAAAAAAUCUAUAAAUUUUCCGGGAAAAAUAAAAUCUGGAAAGGUAAAGAGAGAGUUUCGAUUAGGUUUUCGUGUUUUAUGUUCUGGCCCUCACUGUCUGUG